rnacentral:rRNA from 1 species
UACAGAGGGUGCGAGCGUUGUUCGGAAUUAUUGGGCGUAAAGGGUGCGUAGGCGGCGCGGUAAGUCGGGUGUGAAAUCUCGGAGCUUAACUCCGAAACUGCAUUCGAUACUGCCGUGCUUGAGGACUGGAGAGGAGACUGGAAUUUACGGUGUAGCGGUGAAAUGCGUAGAUAUCGUAAGGAAGACCAGUGGCGAAGGCGGGUCUCUGGACAGUUCCUGACGCUGAGGCACGAAGGUCAGGGGAGCAAACGGG